UGCGUAGGUGGUUAGGUAAGACCUGUGGGAAAGACCUGGGCUUAACCCAGGAAGGUCGCAGGUGACUGCCUGGCUAGAGGGCGGGAGAGGAGCGCGGAAUUCCCGGUGUAACGGUGAAAUGCGUAGAGAUCGGGAGGAAGGCCGGUGGCGAAGGCGGCGCUCUGGAACGUUCCUGACACUGAGGCACGAAAGCGUGGGGAGCAAACAGGAUUAGAUACCCUGGUAGUCCACGCCCUAAACGAUGGGUACUAAGUGUCGGCGGGUUACCGCCGGUGCCGCACCUAACGGAGUAAGUACCCCGCCUGGGGAGUACGGCCGCAAGGUUGAA
rnacentral:rRNA from 1 species